UUGAACGCUGGCGGCAGGCCUAACACAUGCAAGUCGAACGGUAACAGGAAACAGCUUGCUGUUUCGCUGACGAGUGGCGGACGGGUGAGUAAUGUCUGGGAAACUGCCUGAUGGAGGGAGAUAACUACUGGAAACGGUAGCUAAUACCGCAUAACGUCGCAAGACCAAAGAGGGGGACCUUCGGGCCUCUUGCCAUCGGAUGUGCCCAGAUGGGAUUAGCUAGUAGGUGGGGUAACGGCUCACCUAGGCGACGAUCCCCAGCUGGUCUGAGAGGAUGACCAGCCACACUGGAACUGAGACACGGUCCAGACUCCUACGGGAGGCAGCAGUGGGGAAUAUUGCACAAUGGGCGCAAGCCUGAUGCAGCCAUGCCGCGUGUAUGAAGAAGGCCUUCGGGUUGUAAAGUACUUUCAGCGGGGAGGAAGGGAGUAAAGUUAAUACCUUUACUCAUUGACGUUACCCGCAGAAGAAGCACCGGCUAACUCCGU
rnacentral:rRNA from 1 species